rnacentral:rRNA from 1 species
UACGUAGGUGGCGAGCGUUGUCCGGAAUUACUGGGUGUAAAGCGCGUGUAGGCGGGAGGCCAAGUCUGCGGUGAAAUCGCUCGGCUCAACUGGGCGGGGUCCGUGGAAACUGGUCACCUGGAGGACGGUAGAGGCGAGUGGAAUUCCCGGUGUAGUGGUGAAAUGCGUAGAGAUCGGGAGGAACACCAGUGGCGAAGGCGGCUCGCUGGGCCGGACCUGGACGCUGAGACGGCGAAGGCGUGGGGAGCGAACAGG